AUUGAACGCUGGCGGAAUGCUUUACACAUGCAAGUCGAACGGCAGCACGGGGCAACCUGGUGGCGAGUGGCGAACGGGUGAGUAAUGCAUCGGAACGUGCCCUGAAGUGGGGGAUAACGUAGCGAAAGUUACGCUAAUACCGCAUAUUCUGUGAGCAGGAAAGCAGGGGAUCUUCGGACCUUGCGCUUUUGGAGCGGCCGAUGUCGGAUUAGCUAGUUGGUGGGGUAAAGGCCCACCAAGGCGACGAUCCGUAGCGGGUCUGAGAGGAUGAUCCGCCACACUGGAACUGAGACACGGUCCAGACUCCUACGGGAGGCAGCAGUGGGGAAUUUUGGACAAUGGGCGCAAGCCUGAUCCAGCCAUGCCGCGUGAGUGAAGAAGGCCU
rnacentral:rRNA from 1 species